rnacentral:rRNA from 1 species
CCUGGUUGAUUCUGCCAGUAGUCAUAUGCUUGUCUCAAAGAUUAAGCCAUGCAUGUCUAAGUAUAAAUACUACACAGUAAAACUGCGAAUGGCUCAUUAAAACAGUUAUAGUUUAUUUGAUACAUUAAAUGGGUAACUGUAGAAAAACUAGAGCUAAUACAUGCCAAGACCGUAAGGUUGUAUUUAUUAGAUAUACCAAGAUGGUGAAUCAUAAUAACUUAGCAAAUCGAAACUACGUUUCGAUAAAUCAUUUAAGUUUCUGACCUAUCAUGCUUUUGAUGGUAGUGUAUUGGACUACCAUGGCAGUCACGGGUAACGGAGAAUUAGGGUUCGAUUCCGGAGAAGGAGCCUGAGAAACGGCUACUACGUCUACGGAUGGCAGCAGGCGCGUAAAUUACCCAAUCCUGAAUCAGGGAGGUAGUGACAAGAUAUAACAACGCGACUUUAAAUCGCGAUUGUAGUGAGGGUAUUCUAAAAAUAGCUUCGAGUACGAUUGGAGGGCAAGUCUGGUGCCAGCAGCCGCGGUAAUUCCAGCUCCAAUAGCGUAUAUUAAAGUUGUUGCAGUUAAAAAGCUCGUAGUUGGAUUUCAAGAGAUGCAUCUGGGACAACCGGUUUGCUCUCUACGGUCUCAGGACUGUUACUGUGAGAAAAUUAGAGUGUUCAAAGCAGGCUAUUGCAGGAAUAUAUUAGCAUGGAAUAAAUGUAUCUACAAUUUGGUUAAUUGUAGGUUUCAAUUAAUAGGGACAGUUGGGGGCAUUAGUAUUUAAUUGUCAGAGGUGAAAUUCUUGGAUUAGUUAAAGACUAACGUACGCGAAAGCAUUUGCCAAGGAUGUUUUCAUUAAUCAAGAACGAAAGUCGGGGGAUCAAAGGCGAUCAGAUACCGUCGUAGUCCCGCACUAUAAACUAUGCCGACUAGGGAUUGGAGUGAUAAAGAAUCAUUUCAGUACCUUAUGAGAAAUCAAAGUCUUUGGGUUCUGGGGGGAGUAUGGUCGCAAGACUGAAACUUAAAGAAAUUGACGGAAGGGCACCACCAGGAGUGGAGCCUGCGGCUUAAUCUGACAACACGGGGAAACUUACCAGGUCCAGACGUAGUUAGGAUUGACAGAUUGAUAGCUCUUUCUUGAUUCUGCGGGUGGUGGUGCAUGGCCGUUCUUAGUUGGUGGAGUGAUUUGUCUGGUUAAUUCCGAUAACGAACGAGACCUUAACCUGCUAACUAAUCUCUUCUAUUUCAUAGUAGAUGAUUUCUUAGAGGGACUAUGUCACGAAAAGUGCAUGGAAGUUUGAGGCAAUAACAGGUCUGUGAUGCCCUUAUAUGUCCUGGGCUGCACGCGUGCUACACUGAUACAUACAACAAGUUCCUAGCUCGAUAGAGUAUGGUAAUCUCGAAUAUGUAUCGUGAUGGGGAUAGAUCUUUGCAAUUAUAGAUCUUGAACGAGGAAUUCCUAGUAAAUGUAAGUCAUCAUCUUACAUUGAUUAUGUCCCUGCCCUUUGUACACACCGCCCGUCGCUCCUACCGAUACCGGGUGAUGUGGUGAACUUUUUGGACUGAACUUCAGGAAGAUACGUAAACCUUAUCACCUAGAGGAAGGAGAAGUCGUAACAAGGUU